rnacentral:lncRNA from 1 species
GGUACAAACUGAGAGUGAAGUGGCUCAGUCUGCAUGUGAAGCUCUGUAACAUGCUUUUAAGGGGAAAAGGGUAUUUUAUUUGUUUUUAUCAAAUUUUAUUGGGGAUAUUUUAUUGUUUUUAUCCAACUUUUAAUUGGGGAUAUUUUACUGUUUUUAAUGGUACAAACUGAGAGUGAAGUGGCUCAGUCUGCAUGUGAAGCUCUGUGUAACAUGCUUUUAAGGGGAAAAGGGUAUUUUAUUCAUUUUUAUCAAAUUUUAUUGGGGAUAUUUUAUUGUUUUUAUCCAACUUUUAAUUGGGGAUAUUUUACUGUUUUUAAUGGUACAAACUGAGAGUGAAGUGGCUCAGUCUGCAUGUG